AGCACCACCAGCUACCACAUGGAGUAUAUAUCUUUACUCUCCAUGAAUGGUCGUUUUCUGGUUCCAGAUUC
rfam:Angomonas deanei Cont9451, whole genome shotgun sequence.